rnacentral:rRNA from 1 species
UGGGGAAUCUUGGACAAUGGGGGCAACCCUGAUCCAGCCAUGCCGCGUGAGUGAUGAAGGCCUUAGGGUCGUAAAGCUCUUUCGCCUGUGAAGAUAAUGACGGUAGCAGGUAAAGAAACCCCGGCUAACUCCGUGCCAGCAGCCGCGGUAAUACGGAGGGGGUUAGCGUUGUUCGGAAUUACUGGGCGUAAAGCGCACGUAGGCGGACCAGAAAGUUGGGGGUGAAAUCCCGGGGGCUCAACCCCGGAACUGCCUCCAAAACUAUUGGUCUAGAGUUCGAGAGAGGUGAGUGGAAUUCCAAGUGUAGAGGUGAAAUUCGUAGAUAUUUGGAGGAACACCAGUGGCGAAGGCGGCUCACUGGCUCGAUACUGACGCUGAGGUGCGAAAGUGUGGGGAGCAAAACAGGAUUAGAUACCCCUGGUAGUCCACGCCGUAAAACGAUGAAUGCCAGUCGUCGGGUAGCAUGCUAUUCGGUGACACACCUAACGGAUUAAGCAUU